UGAGUAACACGUGGGUAACCUGCCCAUAAGACUGGGAUAACUCCGGGAAACCGGGGCUAAUACCGGAUAACAUUUUGAACUGCAUGGUUCGAAAUUGAAAGGCGGCUUCGGCUGUCACUUAUGGAUGGACCCGCGUCGCAUUAGCUAGUUGGUGAGGUAACGGCUCACCAAGGCAACGAUGCGUAGCCGACCUGAGAGGGUGAUCGGCCACACUGGGACUGAGACACGGCCCAGACUCCUACGGGAGGCAGCAGUAGGGAAUCUUCCGCAAUGGACGAAAGUCUGACGGAGCAACGCCGCGUGAGUGAUGAAGGCUUUCGGGUCGUAAAACUCUGUUGUUAGGGAAGAACAAGUGCUAGUUGAAUAAGCUGGCACCUUGACGGUACCUAACCAGAAAGCCACGGCUAACUACGUGCCAGCAGCCGCGGUAAUACGUAGGUGGCAAGCGUUAUCCGGAAUUAUUGGGCGUAAAGCGCGCGCAGGUGGUUUCUUAAGUCUGAUGUGAAAGCCCACGGCUCAACCGUGGAGGGUCAUUGGAAACUGGGAGACUUGAGUGCAGAAGAGGAAAGUGGAAUUCCAUGUGUAGCGGUGAAAUGCGUAGAGAUAUGGAGGAACACCAGUGGCGAAGGCGACUUUCUGGUCUGUAACUGACACUGAGGCGCGAAAGCGU
rnacentral:rRNA from 1 species